rnacentral:ncRNA from 1 species
CGACCUCAGAGCAGGCGAGAUCACCCGCUGAAUUUAAGCAUAUUAUUAACCGGAGGAAAAGAAACUAACCAGAAUUUCCUAGUAGCGGCGAGCGAACAGGAAUGAGCCCAGCACCGAAUCCCGCGGUUCCACCGCAGGGAAAUGUGAUGUUCGGGAGGAUCCGCUUAUCACGAGGUUCCGCGUCGAGUCCAAGUCCAUCUUGAAUGGGGCCACUUACCCGCAGGUGGUGCCAGGCCCGUAGCGACCGGUACGCGUCUCGGGACGAUCUCUCCUCAGAGUCGGGUUGCUUGAGAGUGCAGCUCUAAAUGGGUGGUAAACUCCAUCUAAAGCUAAAUACGACCACGAGACCUAUAGCGAACAAAUACCGUAAGGGAAAGUUGAAAAAAACUUUGAAGAGAGAGUUCAAGAGUACAUGAAACCUUUCAGGGGUUAAACCUAAGAAACCCAAAAGAUCGAACGGGGAGAUUCAUCGUCAGCGACGCUGGCUUCGCGUCGGGGGGCGAUGCCACGCGGGGCCCUCGCGGCUCGCGCGCCGGCACGCCGCCGUGCGUCCGAUGUCCUGUCGUCGUCGUCGUACACUUCUCCCCUAGUAGAACGUCGCGACCCGCUGGGUGUCGGUCUACGGCCCGGGUGCGGUGGCUGACGCGACGCCCGUAAAACGGCCCGCGUCAAACCCCCGGUCGCCCGGCUGACUGCCCAGCGGUACACGCAAGGUAUCAGGCCGAAGCUCGCUGUGCGUCGAAGCCAUCGCAAGCGCGCGCCACGGUACACGGAUGUUCAACGGACAUAGCGCCGUCACCGGUCCUGGCCCACUGCUGGCACGUACGGUUAACCUUCGACAGGCCCGCAAUCGCGUCCCACGCCGCGUCUGCGCGCGCGUGGGUACCGCGAUAACGGUCGGCGACGCUACUGCUUUGGGUACUCUUAGGACCCGUCUUGAAACACGGACCAAGGAGUCUAACAUGUACGCGAGUCAUUGGGACUUGUAAUGGUAUACCUAAAGGCGAAAUGAAAGUGAAGGUCCGCCCUGGUUGACGACCGAGGGAGGAUGGGCCGCGUCGCAAUGUGGCUCCGCACUCCAGGGGCGUCUCGUUCUCAUCGCGAGAAGAGGCGCACCCAGAGCGUACACGUUGGGACCCGAAAGAUGGUGAACUAUGCCUGGUCAGGACGAAGUCAGGGGAAACCCUGAUGGAGGUCCGUAGCGUUUCUGACGUGCAAAUCGAUCGUUGGAACUGGGUAUAGGGGUGAAAGACUAAUCGAACCAU